UACGUAGGGCGCGAGCGUUGUCCGGAUUUAUUGGGCGUAAAGAGCUCGUAGGCGGCUUGUCGCGUCGAAUGUGAAAACUCGGGGCUCAACUCCGAGCUUGCAUUCGAUACGGGCAGGCUAGAGUUCGGUAGGGGAGGCUGGAAUUCCUGGUGUAGCGGUGAAAUGCGCAGAUAUCAGGAGGAACACCGGUGGCGAAGGCGGGUCUCUGGGCCGAUACUGACGCUGAGGAGCGAAAGCGUGGGGAGCGAACAGG
rnacentral:rRNA from 1 species